rnacentral:tRNA from 3 species
UCCCUCGUAGUUCAGUCGGUAGAACGGCGGACUGUUAAUCCGUAUGUCACUGGUUCAAGUCCUGUCGAGGGAGCCA